GCGAGGUGAGGUAGUAGGUUGUAUAGUUUGUGAAGGGAUAGAAUCCUAUUCAGGUGAUAACUAUACAGUCUAUUGCCUUCCUUGA
rfam:Salmo salar isolate Sally breed double haploid chromosome ssa12, whole genome shotgun sequence.